CCUCGGAUAGCUCAGUUGGUACAGCAUGAGACUCUUAAUCUAAGGGCCAAGGGUUCAAGUCCCACGCUGGGAA